AGAGCUGGUGCAGGGGGCGGCAGUGUGGUCCCAGCUUCCUGUAUCUCUUUCCAGGCCCGUCGGCCCCGGGCCGGGAGACAGAGGCGCUUUAGGCUCCGAAAUCUGAGGCCGGGAGGGAUGAGAGUCGGGGCUAGAGAGCCCUUAAGGAUAAUGUCUGUAGCCGUGAAGGAGGCCGCUGGCGGGUUUGUGUGGCCUCGUACCCGAGUCGGCGGUUUUUUCCGUUAUGAGGGGGGGAAAGGAUUAAAAAUGGCCGCUGCGUCCCCUCGGUGUUGGGGGAGGGGAGCGGCAUCUUAUUUCGCCGUUGCUCUCCUGCGAAGCUUCCCGCAGCCAUCUUGGGCUGGCGGGCUGGGCGCGCUGCCAGGGACACAAAAUGGCGGAGGAGCCGCGCGUCGAUGCGGGCCGACCCGCCGCGGGCCCGCGCCUCACAGGGCCGCGUGGGGGUGGAAGAAGAAAGGCGACGUUGUUGAGGAUCUUUCGGUCGGCUUUUAGGCUGAGAAAGGAUGGAAUCGAGGGUGUUCGUGGGGCCUCUUUCAGGAUGGGGGAAACUAACCGGACAUAGACGGAGUUCUGGGCGCGUUAGUGUGAGGGGAUUCCGCGCGGGCUUUGUGUUUGGCCUAAACCGAGUCCUUUUCUUUGAUACCGAGAGGGCCUUCAAACCAAAAAUAGUUAUCAGGGUAUCCGAAUAGAAUAGACCACGAGAUCUCUGAGGUUUUUUUGUUUUGUGGAGUAGAUAUUUUUCUCGGGGUCAUGUAGGAGAAAUUGGCGGGCAACAAUUUGUGGCGCCGUUAUUUCCUUUGUUUUGAGGCAUUCUAAUUCUGUGAACCACAGCCUCCGUUGCAGUUUUUUGGUCUCCACCUCCCAGAAAUGGAGUUUGGAGAGGGUUGGUUAGACUGCAGGAACAGGACAGUCUGAGGCUUAAACACCGUGAUGUAAAGUUUGGUUGCUGGGCUGUGGGUCCUAAUGAAGGUGCGAAAAUAACGAGGCUUGGAAGAAAUCUUGCAUAUUUGGAGGUUAGGAAGAAUUUUUUAGAAUGUUAAAAAAAAAAAAACCAUAGAAAUUGACUUUUUAACUUGAUAGGAGUAAAUAGGAGGUUUUUGCAGUUUACUACUUUUAAAUUUUCCUUUUCUGGUAGAGCCACUUUAAGAUGUCCGUGGUAAACGUCAGAUAAACCUAUUCGAAUUUUUAGCAAACUCAUGUAAAACAUUUUGCGUGGUUCGUUAGAACGAUGUUUUUAGAAAGGAGCUUCCUGUCUUCUUUCCUGGAACCUUAGUGAACUUAACUGUGUAAUUUCGGAGCCAAAUCUGGUUAAUUUGGUUUGACCUAAUUAGGCCUCGCCUUUACGUAUUCAGUGAAUGUUGGCUUUUUAUGUUUUUCCCUAAGACGAUUGAUUCCAGUGUCACCCGUGUGUGUGCGAUUAUUUUUAAGCUCUUUCUUACAGUGAAAGUUUGGGUUAAGCCUCACAAGUUGCUAAAGCUUUAGCUUCUGGUUUUUGCGAGUUAAAUAUACUGAACUAGUCUGUGUUUGGCCUGGAAAGCAAAUGAUAAUUUUAAGUCUUCGGUUGUUAAAAUAAUUAUUGGGUGUUUUUGCACCAUUUAGGGAAUACAGAAUGACUUGUUUCUGACUAGAUCUUUCUGUUGAAUAUACCUGAAUAAAUUACUUGUGAUAUGCUUGUGAAGAUGAAAAAUUGCCUAAAAAAAAUAAAUUACACGUAAAGGAGGAAACGAUUAUAGGAAGUAUGCCCUGGUUUGAGACAAUUCAAGAGAUGUCAUCCCGUUAAUGAGAAAUUUUUGAAUUGGUUGCAUUUUUUUUCUACUAGUAGAAUAUAUAUCCUAGUGUUUUUCACUAUUCUGUUACGUAGAAUAUUCAUUAAAUAAUCAUGGAAGGAGAGAAAGUUAUAAAGCUCGUGUGAGAAAUUAUUUUAUUUCUUACGUAAGUGUCUUGACUUCCUGGAAGAGAUUCUAAUCUUUGAAGUUGUGGAAUACUUCCAUAUUGUUUUGUUUGGCGUUUGUUUUGUAUGUUGAUUGCUUUCCAGUUGGUGCUUUGGAACCUGAAGUGGUUAGAAUAGACAGAAAACAAACAAGUUUGGAAUCCCAAAAAUGCUUGGCAAAACCAUAAAGCUCAAUGGAAUUGUUUAAAUGUAAUGCCAUAAAAAAGGCUAGGUAGAACAGUUGGGUCUGAUUGGCUAAAAACUUCCUUUUGAAAGUGCCUGAAAGUGAAAAAGUUGCAUUCAGGAUAAUCUUGAACAUCCCUGGUAUGAAUAGCUUCUCUGGAGCCUGAAAAAUUACUUUGAUUCCUCUCUAGGCUGUCAAACAUUCUGAAUGGUUGAUGUAAAUCACUAAUACAAGUCCAACUGUUAUCACUGAUACAAAUCUCUUCAGUUCAGCUGGAAUUUCCCUCUCAUUUAUCUAAAUCUCUGAUCCAGACACUCCCGUACACUCCCCCCAACUAACCAGAAGUAUUUUUUCCACUCAUUUAGAAGUUGUUCCUUUCCUAAACAAACUGAUUGUGUAUGUGCAAUAAAUUAUCCUCAGUUUGGUCACUCAUAGAGUAUUCACUUAUUGGGUGAAUAUAUUGAUACUUAGAACUGUGGUUCAGUGUGUCCCCUUGUCUCCUUUUAAAUGCACAGCUAGGGGCGUGAAUUUUUGUGGUUCGUGUCACUUAGUUUGGGCAGAGUCUACUUUUCACCUUUAUCUGAAUUUUUUCAUGUCAAAGUUAAUCUAAAUUAAAAUCUCUCUAAUUAGAGUUGACUUUCCCGAUCUGGCAAAAUCCAUACAAAAGUAAAAUACUUUUCAUCUCCAAGUUAGAGUCUCUUCCAGUAUGUUCCAAAAAUUGCCUGCAAACAUUUUUCUGCAAAGGAGUUGACUAGCGCUUUUGCAAAAAGAGGCACUCGUAGAACUUAAUGUCACAAUUUGGAAGAAUAAGGACAGGAUAAAGAGUUGGUAGUAAGUUUAGAGAUGUAUGGUAAUAUUGGGAGGUAAUAAAUGUUUAAGGUCCAAUAAUGGUCAUAGUAUUUAGUGUAUGUGAGAUUUGUAUGUUUGGUCUUGGCACUGGUUUAAUGCUCUUUCCUCGUAAUGGUUUCUUGAGCUUCUACAAAUGAGUCUUGACCUAGAAAAUCCAGAAACUAAGGGAAACACUAUUGUAUGGAUAGAUGGUUUUAAUUUGUGCCAGACUACCAAGAUUACAAUGACAAGCAGUUUAAGAAGAUAUUCUGAUAGAAUAUUGGCUAUUAUUUUUGUAGAAGUAAUAAUGUUUGCAAUAUAGGUACAUUAUCUUUAGUCUUAUUCUCCAUAGAGAUGAAUAGCAUCUGGAUGCCAUCCCAUCAAACUGCCUUUCAGAUUCUGCAGUUUUCCUCCUCUUCUGCUUAAUCUUGGAUUAUCUUUUUGUAUUCUUUGUUUUUAGCCCCUAAUUCUAAAUUCUAAUUUUCAAAACUGAAACAUCUCAAUCUAUUUCUUUCUAAAGAAUUGUAGCCAUCACACCAAAUUUCUUUAGUGAAGGAUUGAAUUAAUGUCAAGUGGGAGGAAGUAGUUUGCACUGUUUUGUUUCACUGUGAGUCUGGUUAGGUGUGAGUCUCUUGAAGAAACCAGGUUGAAGAAUAUUUUUCUUGGUUUUAACUAAGGAUGCUUUAAUAUUGUGGAUAUUGUCUGGAACUAGAAGGUGGCAUUUUCAAACUCAAAUUACGAGGUUAAUGUUGAAGAAGGAAAAUGCGGAAGUCGUCAUUUGACAAGUUUUAUAAAUGAGUAUUUGAAGCUCAGGAAUAAGUGAAGCUGAAAUUUGAAAAAAUAAAAGAAAGAAUGCAUGCUAAUUAUCAGACCAGAAGUCCCACUUGUAGAAUAUUGAGCAAUUUGUGUGAAGUGGGGAAGAUGAAAGAAGUCAGAAUUUGAAACGGAAGAAUGAAGAAAAGAAAUAAAAAUGAAGUUAAGAUAAGAAGUAAUCUGGAAUCAGAAAGCACUACGCUAACUAAAUAGAAGAGGAGUCAGAUGAUUGGUGUGAUGUUGGUACUUGGAGUUGAACGGGACAAGUACACGUGUCAGAAUAAUACCCAGUAGUAGCCAACCAACAGCUGUCUUCUACCCUAUUGGAAAAGCCAGGGGUAUCACCUUUUCCUAAAAUGAAGACAACAUAAAAAAUCUCUCUCUGAGAGUUGUCAGAUCUUACAACUCUUGGAAAAAGUAGUUUAAAUGACAUUUCUGGAAGGAUUCAUGUUUUUCAGGUUUUAGGAUCUAAUGUCAAUGUGAGGCUUGUGCUUUUAACAAUAUUUAUAUUUGUAUCUCGCAAGCAGAAGAAAAUUAUUCCCAUUUAUAGGAGACAGUUUCCAGCAUUUGCUUUGCCCCAAUUAUUGCUUUUUAUAAUUUCUUGCCAUGUAUAAACUAAUAAUAACAUUGAAUUAAUAGUUAGGUUUGCAGUCUGAAUUAAUUACACAUUAGGCAGAGAGCUGAGGUGAAAGUUAUGUGAAUAGAUAUUAUUUUUCUGUUCAAACCCAUGCAUUCUUUAACAAGAGACUUGAAAGGUUCUUGGGGUCCAAAAGAGAAAAAGACUUAUUAGCCCUCUAAGGGGAAGAAAGGAGUUUGAAAUUUGAUUAUAUGGCCCAAACUGAAUAGAUGUAAGGCAAAAAUAAACAUUGAUGCUAGUGAACCAUCUCAUCCUUCAGGGUGGUUUUCCCCUUGACCAAAGCAUCUCUGAGUGCCUCCUCCCACACCUGGCAUUGGAGAGGUAAGGGGGAGACAGGCCUCUUGUCCUGGGGCAGGCAGUAAGGUACAUGCCCCAGGAGGGCUGAUUAAUGCCAGGGGCGGGUGGAGCAGAGAAGAUGACAGAAAAAGGUUCCAGGAAGAUGCCUUUGCCGAGAAAAAUCAGAUAGGUAGGAGGCAUAAAACUUCUGAAAUUGACUAAAUCGGUGAGAGUUAACUGACAUCACAAGCACGUACGGUGCUUUUAAUAAGUGUAGGUGCCUGACUCCAGACCUACUAAAAUAAGCUGCAGUGUAGAGACCCCUGUAAUUUAAAUGCUGUGUAGGUUUACUGCAUACCUGUUUAAGAGCCACUGUUCUAAAUCUCAGUUACUGCAUCCAGUGUUUAAAGUAAUACAGGAAAAACCUACCAAUUAGAUGGUUAUUCCCACUUCUGUCAUCUCUUUCAAAGAGUUUUUCUAAGGUAAUACUGUUCUCAGAAUAGGAAGAUGCAGAUGAAGGUAUUUCAUUGGAAGGCUGAGUUUUUUUCCUGUUGUGUUUCCUGUAGGUUAUAUAUUAGUAUAUGACUAAGAGCCAUUCUAUAAGAACUUGGUUCCCUGAGCAGUUUUCAGGGUAUUUUUGGCUUUAUUUUAUUCAUGCUAACUUCAAGUCCAUGAUCCUUUUCCUUGAAGUAUUGAUGUCCAGAGUAGUGCUUCUUUUGGUAGGGUUUUAAUGUGUUGACAAUGUUUUGUCAAACCUGAGAGUGGACUUUGAAUUUGCCUUGUGUGUAGCUCCUUUCUUGGCUGGUUUUACAGAUUUGCCUGUGGAUUAAGGUUUAAAGUUAAUUUUAUGCUCUUAGAUUUGGCUAAUAAUUUUAGAUCUCAUUUCUUCUAGACAGGCUAAAUUUCCUUACAUGUAUUUCCAAACCAGCUAAUGGCCAACGUAACUACAAAGGAGUUUAACUUCUCUAAGAAUAUCCCUGACAAGAAAUGUAGGAGGUGGAGGCAUUGUUUAGGUGCUAGUCUGUCAGCAUCAAAGGGAAAAUCUUUGCAUUCUGGUGUUUCUCCUGUUCCCAAUCUAAGAAAUGAUUGCUUGUGAAUUGUAUCUGUAUAUAGCCAGUUAGGUUUAGAGGCUGAGUGAAAAAAGUCUUAGAUACAGUAUCUGUGAAAUUAUCCUUUGAUCCUUGUUCUGCUAGAAUUUCAUGGGGAAACCUCAUUAAGGCUUAUGUCCCAGGCUAGAUGUACUCUCUCUUAACCUCUUAGUGGUUAAGCAUCUCAGCUUGGAAGAAGGCUUUUCUGUUUAAUGAAGCAAGAGGCUUAAAAGGGGAUGUUGACUCUUCUUUUAUAUUCAGAUCCCUAGGCUGACUGAUUUCUGUUAACUAUAAUUACUGUAUCGGUAGUCUUUUAACUUUUAUUGUGAGGCACUCAUACUCUGCUCUCACUUUCAGAGCAAAUUGUUUUCUUUGGUUUCCGUUAAAAGUUACAGCGAUUCCAUGACGUAAUCUUUCUAGCAUUGUAAUAAAGGUAUUUGUAACUUUUGGGUCCCUAUUUCUAUCUUCUUUUCUAGGUUAGCUUUUGCCUAUGGUCAAGAUGACAGAAACUGCAUCCCCAUUUUUGAGAAAACUUCUUUGUCCAAGGAGAGAAGGGAGGUGAAUUGUGGUUUUUUUUUUUAAUUUCAGCUAUUCUGAUAGGUAUUCUGAUGGAUACCUCAUUGUGGUUUUUUGUUUGUUUUGAGGAAGAUUGGCCCUGAGCUAACAUCUGUUGCCAGUCUUCCUCUUUUUCUUUUUUCUCCCCAAAGCCGCAGUACAGAGUUGUAUAUCCUAGUUGUAAGUCCUAGUUCUUCUGUGUGGGACACCACUUCGGCAUCACUUGAUGAGUGGUGAGUAGGUCUGUGCCCAAGAUCCGAACUGGCAAACCCUAGGCUGACAAAGCGGAACGCAGGAACUUUACUGCUGCGCCACCGGGCCAGCCCUGAAUUGUGCUUUUAUUUAUUUAUUUUUAAUAAAAACUUUUUUCUUUCUUUUUUUGAGGAAGAUUAGUCCUGAGGUAACAUCUGUUGCCAGUCUUCCUCUUUUUUUUCCCCAAAGCCCCAGUACAUAGUUGUAAGUCCUUCUGGUUGUUCUGUGUGGGACACCACCUCAGCAUGGCUUGAUGAGCAGUGAGUAGGUCCACGCUCAGGAUCUGAACCUGCGAACCCCGGGCAGCCAAAGCAGAAUGGGCAAACUUAACCGCUGCGCCUUGGGGCCGGCCCCUGAAUUGUGCUGUUAAAUGUCUUAGUGUUCAGAAUAUUUGCCAGAGAAAGCCAAGGGAUUGUUAAUUGGGGUACCCAAAGCCAUAAUACAUCUUUUAACCAUUCCUUGGUGUUAAAGGUAGCUGUUCUCAUAACAAUGAAGAGUGCCAUCUUUUUCUUUGAAUCUCUUUAUAGUCAUUCAUGAGGGGAAGGAGACCAGGGUGUCACAUUUCCUGUCACUUUACACCAUGUUUUCUAAUGACUUUGAAAUCUUAUUGGAAGGUUUCUAGAGUUGUUUUGGGCCUAGAGACCAGAACUCAUUUUACCAGCUGAGUUAUUCUUUUCUUUCCUGUUCUAAACUUCAAACUUUAGUUUGUCUCUUCUGUGUUGCAUAUAAAUUUUUUCCCUGAGCAUCAUAGGAAGGCUCUUCCAAAUUUUCUUCACUAGGCUUUAAAUCACAGAACAUAUUCUAAAAUGUUUUGGGCUAUAAUUUAAAAUAAUCUUGUGUCUUCUUUCCUUUCAAGAGUGGCCAGAAUAUUCUGAAGGUCUGCCAUAGAGGAAGGUCCCUUGUGAUAAGUGUUAUCCAGCAGCUUCGACCCUUACAGUGAUUUAACGUUGGUCCGUUUUGAAUCUGGCCUUUUCUGCUCUGUUGUGGGUGGAAGGGCUCACUGGACUGUAUGCCUUUUAAUUUGCCUCAAGUAGAGAACCUGAAAUAUUGUUUUGCUUGAUAAUACCUUAGCUAUCAGACUGAAUGGGUUCUCUCUCUCUCUCCACUGUUUCUGUUUUGGUGCCUUGGCAGAAUGUUUUCCUGGUUCCAUUACUUACUGUAUAUGUAUGCCUUUGGCUCAUUGAUGAACUAGUUAACCCUGUAUACUCAUUCCAUUGUUAGUUUUCUUUAGAGAUCUUCCUUGUUGUGCCACUUGCCUACCAGCUAGUCCCAGUUUUGAUUGGGAAAUCUGUGGGUAUAUAGUAUAUAACUAGACUUUUGUUUUUGCAUACAGUUCUUGAACUCCUUCUCUUCCUGAGCCAAGGUUAGGAGCCUCUGGUUUAAUCUUUUCUGGGUUUAAUGUCUUUUAUGUAACUUUUCUAGCUUGCUUAUUUCCAGUUCCCCAUCAGUUUUCGCUCGCUCAUCUCCAUUUAGCUGAGGAAGUUAAAUGUACAUCUCUGGUACCCUCUCUACCCUUAUUGCUGCACAGUUCAGUGCCUUUGUGCUGUAGCUCCAUCUGGUUCCUUUGUUUGAGAUUCUUAUGGGCCUCCCACCAUGGUUAGAUGGAAAUAGGGUCUUAAUAGGCUCUAGUGUUUUUCAAGCUGGUCCUUGCUUUCCACUAGGUUUCUACCUUUCUCUAGGACUUGAAACAGAUCAUCCUUGUCUCUUUUCCCACUCAGCAAUAAAUAUAACUUGAAAAGUUGAGGUCUUAUGAAAAAAGCAUUUUUAAAGUAAGUUUUAUGAAUCUCAUAGAGUUCUGUUUAUUGAUGGCAACUUGACUGAAAUAGGUAUAAAGUAUAGGUGUCGUAGUUAAUAAGGUUCUUUCUCACCCUAGUCUUUACGGAGUAACAUUCCCAAAACAAUCCUUGGACAGUUCCCUUAACUGCUUGGCUUUGGCACCCCUUUCUGAAGAGAGUGGGGUCAGUUAACUCUUAAUCCCUGCUCCAAAAAAGGUGGCAGUUCAAGUUAAUUGACUUAUGUCAAUUGGAGCAAUGUAAUUAUUAUACCACGUAUAUUCAGUUCCUGCCCUUACCUAUGUUUUCUUAUCUUGGAAGGGGAUUGCUUUCCCUCACCAUUUACCUCACAGCAGCUUAUUUGUUUUUAAAGUUGCCCAGAAAGUAUACAAAUUAAACUUUUGACAUCUAC